rnacentral:rRNA from 1 species
AACGAACGCUGGCGGCGUGCCUAACACAUGCAAGUCGAACGGGAAAGCCCGCAAGGGUGAGUACAGUGGCGCACGGGUGCGUAACACGUGGGUAAUCUGCCCAGAAGCCCGGAAUAACUCCCCGAAAGGGGUGCUAAUGCCGGAUGAGACCACGGGGACUUCGGUUCCUGGGGGAAAAGGUGGCCUCUGUAUACAAGCUAUCACUUCUGGAUGAGCCCGCGGCCCAUCAGCUAGUUGGCGGGGUAAUGGCCCACCAAGGCUACGACGGGUAGCUGGUCUGAGAGGACGAUCAGCCACACUGGAACUGAGACACGGUCCAGACUCCUACGGGAGGCAGCAGUGGGGAAUCUUGCGCAAUGGGCGAAAGCCUGACGCAGCAACGCCGCGUGUGUGAUGAAGGUCUUCGGAUCGUAAAGCACUGUCGGGAGGGACGAAUAAGGGCCGGGUGAACAAUCCGGUCUGACGACGGUACCUCCAGAGGAAGCACCGGCUAACUCUGUGCCAGCAGCCGCGGUAAUACAGAGGGUGCUAGCGUUGUUCGGAAUUAUUGGGCGUAAAGCGCGUGUAGGCGGCCGGCCAAGUCGGAUGUGAAAGCCCUCGGCUCAACCGAGGAAGUGCGUUCGAUACUAGCUGGCUUGAGUACCGGAGAGGGUGGUGGAAUUCCCGGUGUAGAGGUGAAAUUCGUAGAUAUCGGGAGGAACACCAGUGGCGAAGGCGACCACCUGGACGGAUACUGACGCUGAGACGCGAAAGCGUGGGUAGCAAACAGGAUU